UGGGUUGUAGCUCAGUGAUAGAGCACUUGCCUAGCAUGCGUGAGGCACUGGGUUCAAUUCUCAGCACCGCAU
rnacentral:tRNA from 1 species